rnacentral:rRNA from 1 species
GUGCAGCAGGCGCGAAACCUUCGCAAUGCGGGAAACCGCGACGAGGGGACUCCCAGUGCCUACGCUCAGCGUAGGCUGUUCCCGAGCCUAGAAAGCUCGGGGAGUAAGGGCUGGGUAAGACGGGUGCCAGCCGCCGCGGUAAUACCCGCAGCCCGAGUGGUGGCCACUAUUAUUGGGCCUAAAGCGUCCGUAGCCGGCCCGGUAAAUGCCUGGGUAAAUCGUGAGGCCUAACCUCACGAAUUCCGGGUAGACUGCCGGGCUAGGGGACCGGAGGAGGGAGAGGGUACUCCAGGGGUAGGGGUGAAAUCCUGUAAUCCCUGGAGGACCACCGGUGGCGAAGGCGCUCUCCUAGGACGGGUCCGACGGUGAGGGACGAAAGCCAGGGGAGCGAACCGGAUUAGAUACCCCUGUAGU